GAUACAUGUACAGCCGGUCAGGGAAUGAUCUGAAGUGACCCUGCCGGCUCAUUCACACCUGGAAUAGUGGAAGGGCUAGCUUCACUACUCACGUACCAAUCUUUUUUUUUUUAUUGUACCCGCAGUGUAAUUGCCUGUAAUAGAAGCUUUUGUAUCCCUACAUGUUGCGCUGGUGUGGGGGCACCCAUGGGCGCCCUGUGGAUCUCAGCGCUAGAUAAAGCGAGCUGGUUGUUGCAAACAGGGUCGGACUGAUCCCAGCCUCCCUGCCGCCAGCCCACAAGGCGCACCCUCUAAAUUCCAUAAUUACCAACUCACUCCCGACUGCAGCUACCGCUAAUGCUACUUUCCCUUUAAGAGGAGAACCGUACGUCUUAAGGAGCCUGCGCGAUGACGUCACCCGGCAUGCUUUACGUGGGAGAACCAGAGGGAGAGUGAGGCAAAAUGGCAAAUAAUGUGAACUGGAUUCAGCGUUCAAGUGUGCCAAGUUUUGCACAGAUGCUAAAGAAGAAUUUACCUGCUCAAGCUCCAGCUGUGAAUCUGAGCUCCACAGUUUCCACAUGCUGCCCAUAUGUUGAACCUGAUUGUGGAACAGCAAAGGUUACUCAAAUCACAGGUUUUCCACAGAUUACUUUCCCAGAACCAUUUUUAUCAGAAAUGAUUGUACCUGCAUCACUCUCCUCACUGCCACCUAGAAAGGUUACAAAGGAAUUUGUGGUAAAAUACAGACGUGGUGACCUCAAUCCUGUUUCUGCUUUAUACCAGUUUGCACAGAUGCAGCGAAUGGAAAUUGAUCUGAAAGAGACUGUAACAACAGGAAACGUCUUUGGUGCUUAUUUUGCAUUCUGUGCUGUUAUUGAUGGAAUUGAAUACAAGCCUGGAAUGAGGCAAAAGCAAAUGCUGCAAUUCGUGCACUUGAUGAACUUCUUCUACAUGAAGAUUCUGAGUUACCAGCUCCACAUUCUGAAAGCCUAAACAUUAUGGAAAAUCCUCCUCUCAUACCUUUGAAACCAAAGGUCACAACAGAAACAUCUACCAUUUCAAGAGCACAAACUGCUAAGUAAAUGGCCUACAACAAU